rnacentral:misc_RNA from 1 species
AAAUUUCUAGUACAAGAUUUGCCAUAUCCUCGUCAGCGAAACAGCGCGGUAUAAAGGUCUUCAUAAUUUACUUUAUUGAAUGGAGAUUCUGCAACAUUGUCAAGUUAUCCGUAUUCGCAAUGGAAUCCGUGUCUACGCGUCGAAUAACGUGAGAACGGCUUACUAUGAAUUAUGGUAACGCGACCGAUAGAAUGUCGUCUGUCGUCCCACAAAUUUCAUGUCGCACCUCAGCCAGACGCCAUCCGAGGAGGCCACACUGUUAGCCCGAGGGUACAAGCUAGUGAAAAAGCUCGGCGAAGGUUGUUACGCAAAAGUGUUUCUAGCCGAGUAUAAACCGGAACGCGAGACGGAGAAAAACAGUGUCCUGGCUUGCAAAAUAAUCGACACGGCAAACGCGCCAAAGGACUUCGUUCGAAAAUUUCUGCCGCGUGAGCUGGACAUUCUAGUGAAACUAAAUCAUCCGCAUGUCGUGCACGUUCACAGCAUUUUCCAGAGACGUACCAAGUACUUUAUAUUUAUGCGCUUCGCCGAAAAUGGCGAUCUUCUUGAUUAUAUACUGAAGAAUGGCGCGGUAGCGGAGAAUCAGGCUCGCGUCUGGUUUCGACAGCUCACCUUGGGUCUUCAAUAUUUACAUGAGAUGGAAAUAGCGCAUCGCGACAUAAAGUGCGAGAACGUUCUUAUCACGUCAAACUACAACGUCAAACUGGCAGACUUCGGUUUUGCUCGUUAUAUGGUCGACAGCCGUGGCAAGCGCGUUCUGAGUGACACGUAUUGCGGCUCGCUGUCGUACGUGGCUCCAGAGAUCCUUCGCGGUUACCCAUACAAUCCAAAGAUAUCCGACAUAUGGUCGUUGGGUGUGAUCCUCUAUAUAUUAUUAAACAAAGCUAUGCCAUUCGACGAGGACAACAUAAAGCGCCUGUACGAGCUGCAGGUGGCACGCAAAUGGAAAUUCCGCAGCAAAGUAACAGGCAGUCUGACCGAUCAUGUGAAGAAGCUCGUGAGCAGUCUGCUCGAGCCAGACGUGUCUAGGCGUUGGCGUUUGGAUCAGAUCGUGCGGGGCGAAUGGAUCGCCAUGGAUCCGCGUCUCGUAGUGCUCACGCCCGCGGAACAGAUCGCGCUCAACAACGCGAUCGAGGAGCGUAAGAGACAUGAGGCGAAGAGGGACCCGGUACGGGCAGACAGCCCAAUCACACAAUCGUUACUCCUAAACAUUCUUUACAAGUCCAAGUCCCUCUUAGCGUCGUUUCCGUCGUACAUCGUGCUGAUGAUGCGUAGAACGCUACUGGUCAUUCACUUGGCGUACACGCUCAUUUUGUCGCACAUCCGACGAUUGCGAGACUAACUAAAAUAAUUUUGCGAAACUUAAUUUACCGUGUCUCGUCGAGUAAACGUGUCAAUAUUUUCUUACGUUUUGUAGAGCAAAAUCUAUAAUUAAAGAGAGCACGCAUAAUAUGCGCAAGUAAUAUCGCGAAAUUACGAAUAAUCGAUUUUCAGAGACGACACAAAGUUGAGGAGACAAAAAAGAUCGAUGAUGAGUACAAAAUCAACCUAGAAAAGGAAAAUGUAAUGGUCCUCAAAGACGUCGCAAAAGGGACAGUUUCCAC